ACGGGAGGCAGCAGUGGGGAAUAUUGCACAAUGGGGGAAACCCUGAUGCAGCGACGCCGCGUGAGUGAAGAAGUAUUUCGGUAUGUAAAGCUCUAUCAGCAGGAAAGAAAAUGACGGUACCUGACUAAGAAGCCCCGGCUAACUACGUGCCAGCAGCCGCGGUAAUACGUAGGGGGCAAGCGUUAUCCGGAUUUACUGGGUGUAAAGGGAGCGUAGACGGAAUAGCAAGUCUGAAGUGAAAUCAUAGGGCUCAACCCUGUAAUUGCUUUGGAAACUGUUGAUCUUGAGUACCGGAGGGGCAGGCGGAAUUCCUGGUGUAGCGGUGAAAUGCGUAGAUAUCAGGAAGAACACCGGUGGCGAAGGCGGCCUGCUGGACGGCAACUGACGUUGAGGCUCGAAAGCGUGGGGAGCAAACAGGAUUAGAUACCCUGGUA
rnacentral:rRNA from 1 species